GACGAACGCUGGCGGCGUGCUUAAUACAUGCCAGUCGAACGGACAGGCCCUGCUCUUGCGGCGUGCUCGAGUGGCGAACGGGUGAGUAACACGCGUGUAACCCCCCCCUGUCUUAGGGAUAUCUCUUGGAAACUGGGGCUCUAACCGCAUAGGAGCUCUUGCUGCACGGUGGGGGUUGGAAAGAUUCGGCGGUUCGGGAUGGUAUCGCGGCUUAUCCGCUUGUUGGUGGGGUAGUGGCUGACAAAGGCUGUGAAGGGUAGGCGGCCUGAGAGGGUGACCGGCCACAUUGGGACUGAGGGACGGCCCAGACUGCAACGGGAGGCAGUAGUGGGGAAUAUGGCACAAUGGGGGGAAGCCAGUGACAGCAGCGCCGGGAGCGUGAUAACGGCUUACGAGUGAAAAACCGCUUUGGACGUAAACAUGGCCGGAUUGACGGUAAUUAGUAAGAAAGCACCGGCUAACUACGUG
rnacentral:rRNA from 1 species